GUCGAGAAUCUUCCGCAAUGCGCGAAAGCGUGACGGAGCGACACCGCGUGAUGGAUGAAGUCCUUCGGGGCGUAAACAUCUUUUAUAAAGGAGGAAAUUUUUGACGUUACUUUAUGAAUAAGGGGCUCCCAAUCUCGUGCCAGCAGGAGCGGUAAUACGAGAGCCUCAAGCGUUAUCCGGAAUCAUUGGGCGUAAAGGGUGCGUAGGUGGUCUGAUUAGUCUCCCGUUAAAACUUCGAGCUUAACUCGAAAAGAGCGGGGGAAACGGUCAAACUAGAGUAUGUGAGAGGUGUGUGGAACUCAUGGUGUAGGGGUGAAAUCCGUUGAUAUCAUGGGGAACACCAAAAGCGAAGGCAGCACACUGGCACAUCACUGACACUGAGGCACGAAACCUAAGGUAGCGAAUGGGAUUAGAAACCCCGGUAGUCC
rnacentral:rRNA from 1 species